UAGAAUUUGGUCAUGGGCGCAAGCCUGAAACCAGCCAUGCCGCGUGCAGGAAGAAGCAUCUAUGGUGUGUAAACUGCUUUUAUACAGGAAGAAACACCUCCACGUGUGGAGGCUUGACGGUACUGUAGGAAUAAGGAUCGGCUAACUCCGUGCCAGCAGCCGCGGUAAUACGGAGGAUCCAAGCGUUAUCCGGAAUCAUUGGGUUUAAAGGGUCCGUAGGCGGUCUUAUAAGUCAGUGGUGAAAGCCCAUCGCUCAACGAUGGAACUGCCAUUGAUACUGUAGGACUUGAAUUUUUGUGAAGUAACUAGAAUAUGUAGUGUAGCGGUGAAAUGCUUAGAUAUUACAUGGAAUACCAAUUGCGAAGGCAGGUUACUAACAAACGAUUGACGCUGAUGGACGAAAGCGUGGGGAGCGAACAGGAUUAGAUACCCUGGUAGUCCACGCCGUAAACGAUGGAUACUAGCUGUUUGGAGCAAUCUGAGUGGCUAAGCGAAAGUGAUAAGUAUCCCACCUGGGGAGUACGCACGCAAGUGUGAAACUCAAAGGAAUUGACGGGG
rnacentral:rRNA from 1 species